rnacentral:rRNA from 1 species
GAUGAACGCUGGCGGCGUGCCUAAUACAUGCAAGUCGAGCGAAUGGAUUAAGAGCUUGCUCUUAUGAAGUUAGCGGCGGACGGGUGAGUAACACGUGGGUAACCUGCCCAUAAGACUGGGAUAACUCCGGGAAACCGGGGCUAAUACCGGAUAACAUUUUGAACCGCAUGGUUCGAAAUUGAAAGGCGGCUUCGGCUGUCACUUAUGGAUGGACCCGCGUCGCAUUAGCUAGUUGGUGAGGUAACGGCUCACCAAGGCAACGAUGCGUAGCCGACCUGAGAGGGUGAUCGGCCACACUGGGACUGAAACACGGCCCAGACUCCGACGGGAGGCAGCAGUAGGGAAUCUUCCGCAAUGGACGAAAGUCUGACGGAGCAACGCCGCGUGAGUGAUGAAGGCUUUCGGGUCGUAAAGCUCUGUUGUUAGGGAAGAACAAGUGCUAGUUGAAUAAGCUGGCACCUUGACGGUACCUAACCAGAAAGCCACGGCUAACUACGUGCCAGCCGCCGCAGUAA